rnacentral:rRNA from 1 species
UCGGGAAUUUUGUGCAAUGGGCGAAAGCCUGACCCAGCAACGCCGCGUGAAGGAUGAAGUAUUUCGGUAUGUAAACUUCGUAAGAAUAGGAAGAAUAAAUGACGGUACUAUUUGUAAGGUCCGGCUAACUACGUGCCAGCAGCCGCGGUAAUACGUAGGGACCAAGCGUUGUUCGGAUUUACUGGGCGUAAAGGGCGCGUAGGCGGUGUGUCAAGUCAGUUGUGAAAUCUCCGAGCUUAACUCGGAACGGUCAACUGAUACUGUCACACUAGAGUACAGAAGGGGCAAUCGGAAUUCUUGGUGUAGCGAUGAAAUGCGUAGAUAUCAAGAGGAACACCUGAGGCGAAGGCGGGUUGCUGGGCUGAUACUGACGCUGAGGCGCGAAAGCUAGGGUAGCAAACGGGAUUAGAUACCCCCGUAGUCCCUGAGCGGGCUGGCAAGGCGCAU